CGUUUGACACUUCUGAAAGGGGUCAUGGCGGAAGCAUGGGAAUAGCUUGCGCCCCCCUUUCCCCAGGGAGUACCCAUUCCGACAGGAGUCGCAAAGUGAGGUGAGUGUCCCUUGGUCUCCAACCGUGGGUCAGGCCCGUGCGGGCCCGACGGCCCCUGGGAAACGGAGCGCUGAGGAGGCGAGCCGGGCUCAAAGCCUCUUCCGCUGGAAAUAGGUUUUCUUUCCGGGCUGGUCCGAUGGCGGCCCGCCCUCCCUCCGCCCCUCUGAGGCUCCCUGUGGGGUGAGGCCGCUCUACCGGCUUCCCUCGCCCCGCUGCAGCCAGCUGGGACGGGAGGGGCCCCUAACUCCAGCAAAGUGGAUCUCCUGACCACGCCCCAGCAAGUUCUGUUAAGCACUUUCACCCUCUGACCUUUAAGGUCGGAGAAUUCUGGAGCUUGAGGAAAUCAUUUUCCAUCCCCAGCUAUAAAGGAAAAAGAUGGUCACCCUACCACUGUGACAACAUCUCGAAGCCUUAUUUCCCCACUUCCUGUCUGCAUAUUCUGAAAUUUUCAACCUUUUCUUCGUUUCUCCUCUUCUCGGGGUUUGUAAGCAUUGACUGCAGUUCUGGAUGAAAGUAUACUGUCCACAUUGUGCAUGUCUAUGGUUUAUUAAACAACUUAAUGUUUGUGAAUAUUCAUGAAAUGUAUUAUUUUAUAUGGCUAGGGGUCUAAUUGGAGCUGCAGCCGCCGGCCUACGCCAGAGCCACAGCAACGCAGGAUCUGAGCCACAUCUGCAACCUACACCACAGCUCACGGCAACACCCGAUCCUUAACCCACUGAGCAAGGCCAAGGACCGAACCCACAACCUCAUGGUUCCUAGUGGCAUUCGUUAACCACUGAGCCACGACGGGAACUCCAGGGUAUUAUAACUCUUUAGCCUUAAUCUAGAACCAUUCCGCCAUCUCUUUUUACCUUGUAAAGUUGUCAUUUUGAAAAGUUCAGGCCAGGGGUCUUUUUGAAUGUCUCCUCUUAUUUUUCACAAAUCAGAAGUAGGUCUGGAAGCAUGAUUAGAUUCAGUUUAACACUUUUUGCAAGACUACUUAAAAGUAUUUAUACUUUACCAAUCAUGACUAACUGCAGCUACAUUUACCAUGCCAUGAGUUGCUCAUUAAAUCCAUCCCACUUCUCAGCACACCACCCUUCUAUGAUGUCCUACAGAGAAGAGUUUAAUCUUCCUGUCUUUGUAGAGUACGUUAGUGUCCUGCACUGACAACAUAGACUGGCUACCUUUAAUAAAGUUUUGCUGCUACUUUGCCUACACUUGGCGCUGAUGCAAUGUAAUCUACAGCAAAGUGUACUGAUGUCAGCAGUUUCAUGAGUUUCAACUUCUGGCAUCCCAAGGAUGGUUGAUGAAAGAUGUGUGGGCCCUGCAAUUCAAAUACAGAUGAAUCUUGAUGUUAUCAAAGCAGAUACUAAGGGAACUGCUGGCCAUCUGGCCACAUUCCAAUUUAGGCAAUGUUAUUUUUCUCCCUGAAAUUCUCUUGCAAGUCCUAAUUGGUCCUGGUGUUUUUGUGAUAGCUUUUCAGUAGUAUUCAUCACAGCCUAUUAAAAAUUGCAAAACCAAGAUUAUACUUAACAUUUAAUACAUUAGGAACAUUCUCUGUCCAGUGGAUAGAGAAGUGUUUGCAGAACUUCAGAAUCACAAAAGGAAAACUCGCAAGACUGCCUAGCGUAUGUAGUCCUCCUAUCCUAGACUUAUAUUUGACCACAAAAGAUAAGUAGAAGGAAGAAAAUGCACUUAAUGGAACAGAAGAAAAUAUUCUGGGAGGGCAAAAACUCUUAAGAUUGAUAGAGAAUGUUUUAAGGCUUUGUAUUGAAAGUUAAGUAAUGCACUCUGUCAGUUACUUCCUAUAUAGAAGGAAAUUUGUUCAUGUGGGACUAUGAAACAGUUUUAAGUUUAUCCAGAUUCAAGUAAGGCAAAAUAAUAUACCGAUUAAGACCACAGAUUUUAGAAUCAGAUCUGGGUUUCAAGAAUAGGAACAUUCAUUAGGUGAUGACUUUGGACAGUUUACUCAUUCUGUUUAUCAUCUGUUAGAUGGAACCAUGGGAGUGCCCAUUGUGGCACAGUGGAAACGACUAGGAACCAUGAUGUUGUGGGUUCCAUCCCUGGCCUCACUCGGUGGGUUAAAGAUCCAUCAUUGCCAUGAGCUGUGGUGUAGGUCGCAGGCAAAGAUCAAAUCUAGCGUUGCUGUGGCUGUGGUGUAUGCUGGUGGUUGGAGCUCCAAUUCAGCCCCUAGCCUGGGAACUUCCAUAUGUCAAGGGUGCAGCCCUAAAAAUAGCAAAAAAAUAAAAAAUAAAUAGGACCAUAAAACCUUUUAGGAUUGUUGAACAGAAUGAGUCAACUAUAACUCUUUAGCAUAGUUUAUAGACAUGGCAUAUAGUUAGUGCACGGUAGUUAUUUAUUAUUAGUAACUUCUAAAGCAGUCCAAUCUGAGUACAUUAUAGCAUUAAAUGUUUAUUUAAUAUUUAUCGAAUGAGCAAGUGAACCUAUGACAGUGAUUCUCCAAGUUUAAUAAGAGAUUUUGAUUCACUGAGUCUGGGGAAGGCUCCAGAAAAAUCUGAAUUUUUAAUAAUAGUCCAGGAGAUUUUGAUGCAGGUAAUCCGAGGAUCAGGCUUGCAGAUCUGAGUGAAGUGUCAAACAAUUCUUUAUUUCCCUUUCCUUGUUUCCUAUCGAAGUAGCAUAUAUUGACAAUGCUGAGAAUAUAAAAAGUUCUUCAGGCACCCUUUUUCAAAAAGUCUUAACCUUUUUUUUUUAAAGUUCAUAGCUAACAUUUUUAGAACUGUUUCCAAGUACUGAAUUUAAAAAAAAAAAUUUAGAAAAAGUCAUUUUGCUUGAGUAGGAUGUGUCAUUUUCUACUAACUUAAUAGUGUCUACUACUGGAGUAUAACAGAACCAAUGGCAUCAUCCAGGUUCACCCAGGUAGAGCAGUUCCUUAGGCCCAGGCACAUUUCAGAAACUAGACAGCACACAUUUUAUUCACAUGAGUCUGGAUUAAUUAGCCAAAUUGAACUUGUUGCAACAUUCUUUUACCAGCAGAUGCCAGAUAGAAAAACAGAAUAGAAUCUCCUAUAGUUCUAACUACUUGACAUAUGAUGUUAUUUGGCAUCUCCAGUUGAACACUGUCAAUCAAAAUUAAGCACUCUGCUAGCAUAUGGGCAACCACUUGAAUGUUACUACUUCAUGUAUGCUGAAAAACAUUUUUGUUUCUUUGGACUCUCCUUUAACCUUUUUCUCAUGUUAGUUUAUAUUCAGAAAUCUAACGUAUGUGAAAGAUCAUCUAUCAGUCAACCAUGUAAGUCUUAGGUAAGACAAAAAGAUAAAUUUUUUCAUUUUUUGUUCCUCCCAUUCCUGUCAUACCCAUCAACAACCUGCACUAGGUAGACUGAAUUUACUUAAAAGGAAUUAAUAGUCACAAAAGAAAAAUAUGCUUUACUGUCUUUUACAUAAAUAGGGUUGCCUCUGGUGUCUCUCUUAGUUCCCAGAGAUUGUAUUUUGCUUUGUAAUGCCUAUUAGUGAUAAAACAGGAUAAUAUAUUGGAGUGGCUCUGUAUUUUACUAAAGUUGCAAAGUCAAGUGCCUGUAGUUGCUAGGCAGGUAAGGUAAAAGGAAACAAGAGGCAGUAGUGGGGAUUGGCGAACUCCUUAUGCUCAUCUAAAUGGGUAUCGCUUCCCAGUCCCAGAUAAAUUUUGCCAUGUGGGGAUAUGGACUUGGUGUUACCACAUCUGUCAAGAAGAACUAAAAUUUGGACUUCAUGAGAAAUCUGAUUUUUAAGCAUUGGUUCAAAUACUAUUUAUACCUUUAGCAAGCCAGCAAAACAUUUAACUGUAUAGGACCAAGAGCUACAGGUUUAUGACCUCUGUCUUUCUUACAUAAAAAUGUGAUUGGUACUUUGCGUUCUACAAUGCUUUAGAAAUGUUUUCUUUUUUGCCGUAUUUCAGAUGCAUUUACUUCUCUAAGUUAGUUUAUAAGUCACUUGUUAUCUCUAUCAAAACUCAAGAUUCUUAUGUACACCAAGCAUCUAACUCAAUUUAAAAGGUUUUUACUCUUUUCCACCAAAUUAAAAACUUGUUCACAUUAUCUCAACCUUGAAUUUUAUUAGGAAUAUAAUCACAUUAUAUUUCUAGCACUUUUACAUUUACUUUUCACUUGAACUUUUGCAACCCAAGACAGAUACUACACAUGUUUUUCAUGAGAAAAACAACUUCCAGUUGGUUAGGAAAUGUAUUCAUGGUCACACAGCUAGUUAGCAGUAAGCCAGAGUACAACUCAUUUAAAGUAUAAACAUGAAAUAUACUGACCUGGAAAAAAAAAUGAAAGAAAAAAAAACUCCAAUACAAGCUUUUAUUUUAAAUCAUACACUGGAUUUUAAUUUUGAUGCUUGUUUAAAAUAUUCCUAGAAUACUCUGAAGCAUUCAGUUUCACACUUUAAAAAUGAGGUUUUGUAAAAUUAGGAUAAGUUUGUAAGUUUAGAUAACAUUAAUGGAGGGAAAAAAGAAUUAUAAUGGAGAACUAAUGGUGGAUUAGAGGUGGUAGUACUUAUUAUGGAGGAUAAUCACAUUGACCCACAAAAUGGCCCUUUUGGGCCUCGAAGCAAAGAUCAAAUAUGAGAAUACUUUAGUAUGACUUUGGAGGGUUGUUUUAAAAACAUCCAAAUCCUGGCCUGAGCAUUUUUAGAAGCUAAGACUUAGCUCUGGCAUCCUCAGUAUGUUUCCACUUUGAUAUUCUGAUAUAUAUAUGCUUUUAGUUACCAGAAUGGAGCUUGGAUUUUCAUAAUCUAUUCCCCUUCUCUGCCUGCUAUCUGACUAGUCUACAUUUUCCAGUGACUAAAUGAAAAUAUGAUACACUUUAACGCUAAUAAUCCUGGUUAGCUAUUUAAUCCAUGAUCUUGGUCUCAUCAAUAUAUUCUCAUAUAUGUCAACAUAUGAAAAAAAAUACAAAGCUUAGAAGCUUUUAAAGUGUUGCUUAUUUCUGAUGAAGCUUGAGAUUUGAGAGUUUCAGUUGUAGCAUCUUUUAAAAAUAAUACUAAUGCUAUAAAACAAAACCCAUAGACAAAAAGUAUUUUUUUCCUACGAAAAUUUUUUUCAGGGUUAUAUCAAACAUGACGACUGGAAUGCUGAAUCCUCAAAUUAAGAGUGAGAGAAAGAAAAACCACAUGUUGGUUAAAACCAUACAUUGAUUUGACUGUGACAGUUG
rnacentral:lncRNA from 1 species